rfam:Rattus norvegicus chromosome 19, whole genome shotgun sequence.
GGGGAUUUAGCUCAGUGGUAGAGCCCUUGCCUAAGAAGCACGAGGCCCUGGGUUCAGUCCCCAGCUCCG